rnacentral:rRNA from 1 species
UACAGAGGUCUCAAGCGUUUGUUCGGAUUCAUUGGGCGUAAAGGGUGCGUAGGCGGCGCGGUAAGUCGGGUGUGAAAUCUCGGAGCUUAACUCCGAAACUGCAUUCGAUACUGCCGUGCUUGAGGACUGGAGAGGAGACUGGAAUUUACGGUGAGCGGUGAAAUGCGUAGAUAUCGUAAGGGAAGACCAGUGCGAAGGCGGGUCUCUGGACAGUUCCUGGACGUGAGGCACGAAGGUCAGGGGAGCAAACGGGG